rnacentral:rRNA from 1 species
CGAACGCUGGCGGCGUGCUUAACACAUGCAAGUCGAACGCGAAAGGGACUUCGGUCCUGAGUAAAGUGGCGCACGGGUGAGUAACGCGUAGAUAACCUGUCUUCAUGUCUGGAAUAAUACGCCGAAAGGGGUACUAAUACCGGAUAUCUUGCUUUUCAUAAGUUAUGCAAGCAAAGGUGGCCUCUGCAUAUGCUGCUGCAUGAAGAGGGGUCUGCGUACCAUUAGCUAGUAGGUGGGGUAAUGGCCUACCUAGGCGACGAUGGUUAGCGGGUCUGAGAGGAUGAUCCGCCACACUGGCACUGGAACACGGGCCAGACUCCUACGGGAGGCAGCAGUGAGGAAUAUUGCGCAAUGGGGGAAACCCUGACGCAGCGACGCCGCGUGAGUGAAGGAAGGCCUUCGGGUCGUAAAGCUCUGUCAAGAGGAAAGAAGUGUACAAUGGCUAAUACCUGUUGUAUUUGACGGUACCUCUAAAGGAAGCACCGGCUAACUCCGUGCCAGCAGCUGC